GAUCAAAGUGAGCAAACGAGCUUUUAAUCCAGAGCAACGGUUGAUCAUAACUUUAAGAUAUUUAGCAACUGGUGAUCAAAUACUGUCCAUUGCACUGGCUUUUAGAUAUGGAGAAUCAACUGUGCGGAAAAUUAUCCAC